rnacentral:rRNA from 1 species
GUAGUUUGAUCGUGGCUCAGGAUGAACGCCGGCGGUGUGCCUAAUACAUGCAAGUCGUACGCACUGGCCCAACUGAUUUGAUGGUGCUUGCACCUGAUCGACGAUGGAUCACCAGUGAGUGGCGGACGGUGAGUAACACGUAGGUAACCUGCCCUGUACAGGGGAUAACAAUCAGAAAUGACUGCUAAUACCGCAUAAGACCACAGCACCGCAUGGUGCAGGGGUAAAAACUCCGGUGGUACAGGAUGGACCCGCGUCUGAUUAGCUGGUUGGUGAGGUAACGGCUCACCAAGGCGACGAUCAGUAGCCGGCUUGAGAGAGUGAACGGCCACAUUGGGACUGAGACACGGCCCAAACUCC